UCAUCGAGUGUGUAGGUUAGGUGGGGUAUCUGCUCAGUUAUACUUCGCAUGCACAACUUUUCGCAUCGCGGUGAUGGUUUGCAUUUUCAUGGUUAGUUCGAGAUUGUGCAUUGUGAUUUAAAAUAGGAAACUGACUUCGGAAGUGACAAUUGCGUGUGUGUUUUUUUUUUCGUUUCCGGGUUAUUUGUGAACAGAAAAUACAACGAAAUAUUGUAUUACUGGUUUCCUUUUAUGUACAAAGAGCAGUUCAUUGCUGUUCCAGCUGGGGCAUAGAAUUCGAAACUGCUAGCCCGUGAAUUAGACGUAGUUGAACAAGUAGUGUAGGUUGCUCAGUUUAUUGCAUUCUGUUUAAACCGAAGCACUGUAUGUGUGAAUGAUACAGUUUGCCAUUACGUAUAAGAAUAAACAGGAAUUUGUGAAAGUGUUGUGGCGUUAUCAAGAACUGUGCAUCAAAUACAGCAUCUAGUAAAUACACAGUGGAAAAUCCGGCAUUCAGGCGAGUGCAUCAUUAUGAACGAUCAAUGAUGGUUGGACUGUCUAUUUUACGUUGGCGCCAAUGAUUGCUGGAGGUGGUCUUCCGAAAACAGCUGCAUUCCUUGUUGCCAUCAGAAGAAUUUGGGAGCGUUGGUGCUGAGCUCUAGUCGCUCACGGAUGAGGUCGCGUGUGUGUACAGUCAAGACACCUGUGUAUAAACACUACAAAUGCACGAACAUACGUAAUAUUAGUGUAAGCGGUGGCGAUUCACUCUUGUGUUUGCGGUAAAUUUGUGAAGAUGGCAACACCACUUGAUACAUCUUGUGCCUGUUUCGUAGUGCAGGUGCUAAUAAUUCUCCUCGCCCUAACGUCAUUCGCAGCUUUGGAAGAUGGAUAUCUUCUUGAAGACACUCUGCAUUCGCCUACUUCUUCUUCUGGCGGAGACCUCCACCAGUCGGUUCCUCUUCCUGUGUUUCUCGAGGAGCCCACAGACUCCUACGUUAUCAAGAACAAACCGGCUACAUUACAAUGCCGAGCCGCCCACGCCUUGCAGGUGUACUUCCGGUGCAAUGGCGCCAGGAAACAGCAUUCAUCUUCAGCCAACUCACCACCAAUGCAGCAAGACUUUGUAGACCCCCAGACGGGAGUUCGUAACGUCGAGGCGUCUAUCAAUAUUACGCGUAAUGAAGUGGAGGAAUAUUUUGGGAAAGACAAAUUUAAAUGUGAAUGCAUCGCGUGGUCCAGCAGAGGGCAGAUCCGCAGCCAGCCAGCCGCCGUUGAUG